GCAUUCAUAGCUCAAAUGGAUAGAGCCCCUGGCUUCGAACCAGGUGGUUAGAGGUUCAAGUCCUCUUGGAUGCA
rnacentral:tRNA from 1 species